AGUUUUGCCCAGUGGCAGUAUUGUAGCCAAUGAGGUUUAUCUGAGGCACGAUUAUUCAGGGUUGAAAACUUUUCCCAAUACCCCUCUGUGACGACUUGCAAUAUAAUCGGCACUGGCAAUCUUUUUUUUUUUUUUUUAAUG
ensembl:snRNA U4 U4 spliceosomal RNA